CAGUAGGAUGAUCCAGGGAACCUAUCCAUGAUCCGCUGCUGAAAUGCACUGGCCCUUGAGGUAUUGCUGUGACACUGAGCGCUCUGAGUAAUUUAAAACAACCCAGAAGAAAUCACAGACAGAUGCAUUGUGCAGAGGACAGAUGUGCUGACCCAUUACAGCACUUUAACAGCUACACUUGCAAGGUGGAUGCCAAAGACAGCACAGGAAAGGUAGAGAACCAGACCCUACAGGAAUGUAAAAAUACACCUCCUCAACAACCAUACAUUUUAACACGCAACCUACCUACAUGUAUGGAUCAAGAAGAAGCACGUGAGCAAUUGGUGCUGUGUACGUGCACUUACACAUAAAGAAAGAGUCUCCAAAAUCAACAUUCAAGCUACACCUUAUAAACUAGUCCAACUUGGCGCUGCUUUCUCGACAAUAAAUAUUCUUCACUGUGCCUUAAUUUACAAGUGUGCCUUUUGUGUAUUUCUGAGUUAACUGAUACCAAAGGGACUAAAAUUUGGCUAAAACCCCACCAUCUGUGUUAUGUACUGGGCAAACUGAGGACAGCAGAGCUGUGAUCAGCGAAAGGGGCACAGUGCUCUGGCACAGACCUCCUGGAGACAU